rnacentral:rRNA from 2 species
CACAUGACUCUCGGCAACGGAUAUCUUGGCUCUCACAUCGAUGAAGAACGUAGCAAAAUGCGAUACCUGGUGUGAAUUGCAGAAUCCCGUGAACCAUCGAGUUUUUGAACGCAAGUUGCGCCCGAUGCCUUUUGGUUGAGGGCACGUCUGCCUGGGCGUCACGC